AAGCUGCCUCAGUAGCUCAGUCGUUUGUACUGUAUGAUUUCCUUGUGAGAACGUUGGUUCGACUCCGCUUGCCGACAAUUUCGCAAGAAAAGGUGCAGGCCAAGCUACUGAGUUACCCGGAGGGGGGUGGCGCAA